CAAUAGCGUAUAUUAAAGUUGUUGCGGUUAAAAAGCUCGUAGUUGGAUUUCUGCUGAGGACGACCGGUCCGCCCUCUGGGUGUGUAUCUGGCUCGGCCUGGGCAUCUUCUUGGAGAACGUAGCUGCACUUGACUGUGUGGUGCGGUAUCCAGGACUUUUACUUUGAGGAAAUUAGAGUGUUUCAGGCAGGCAAUUGCCCGAAUAUCUUAGCAUGGAAUAAUGGAAUAGGACUUUGGUUCAUUUUAUUGGUUAUUGAAUCAGAGUAAUGAUUAAUAGGGACAGUUGGGGGCAUUAGUAUUUAAUUGUCAGAGGUGAAAUUCUUGGAUUUAUUAAAGACUAACUUAUGCGAAAGCAUUUGCCAAGGAUGUUUUCAUUAAUCAAGAACGAAAGUUAGGGGAUCAAAGAUGAUCAGAUACCAU
rnacentral:rRNA from 1 species